AGAAUCAACGCUGGCGGCGUGCCUAACACAUGCAAGUCGCACGAGAAAGCGGGAGCAAUCCUGUGAGUAAAGUGGCGUACGGGUGAGUAACACGUGAAUCAUCUACCUUCGAGUGUGGAAUAACUGAGAGAAAUCUUAGCUAAUACCGCAUAAUACUUACGAGUCAAAGCAGCAAAUGCGCUUGAAGAGGAGUUCGCGGCAGAUUAGUUAGUUGGCGGGGUAAUGGCCCACCAAGACGAUGAUCUGUA
rnacentral:rRNA from 1 species